rnacentral:rRNA from 1 species
UACAGAGGGUGCGAGCGUUAAUCGGAAUUACUGGGCGUAAAGCGCGCGUAGCCGGUUUUGUAAGUCAGAUGUGAAAUCCCUGGGCUCAACCUGGGAACUGCAUUUGAGACUGCAUGGCUAGAGUAUCGAAGAGGGAAGUGGAAUUUCCGGUGUAGCGGUGAAAUGCGUAGAUAUCGGAAGGAACACCAGUGGCGAAAGCGACUUCCUGGUCGAAUACUGACGUUCAUGUGCGAAAGCGUGGGGAGCAAACAGG